CAGACGCGCAUAUCUCUAUCUCUCACUCUGUCUCAAAAUCUCUCACCCAAAAACACAAUCUCUCUCCUGCUUACUGCAUUCGUAGACCACCGACGUGCCCCCAUCUGAAUCAAUCCCCACCAUCUUCUUCCACCUCCUCUCCCAAUCCGAACUCUUCUCUCUCUCCCUCUACUCGUCCUCUGCCCUUAGCACUCACCAAAACGACAUCGACAUCUCCAAGAUCGACUGUACUGUUUUCAAAGAAUCCUCCGCGACUGAGAUUCUAGCUUCUAGAGUUAGAGAUUGAGAUGGGUGUAGCCGCAGAUCGUUUUCAAAGAGGAAUUUUUAGGCGGAAAUGGUGCGCACGCAACCUAUUCGAUGUUUUGUCUCAGAGAAUUAGGGGUUUGAAUUGGGGUGUUUUCAGAUUAGGGUUUUACUCUGCUUUUCUCUGGUAUGAAUUUAAUUUUUGGGCUUCGAUUGGUCGAUUUUCAUGCUUUUGUAAGUUUUGUGGGUUCGAUUUUGAUUUUUUUGCAAUUAGGGUUUCAUAUAAUUUUAUACGGGUUUCAUGCUCAUGUUUCGAUUUGUUGAUUUCUUAUAUUUCGUAUUUGUCGAAUUUUUAUUUGUGUGGGUUUUGUAUUUGUCGAAUGUGUACGCGUGUAUGCAAUCCAUGUUUUUUUUUAAUUUUUUCUGGUUUGAACAUAGAAUUUACACUUUACAAGAAGGUCUAUGUUUAAUGUUGAUUUCUUGAGGUCAAUUUCUGAUCAUUUUUAUUACAAGAUGAGUACAGAGUGAAAGAGAAAUAACAGAGUUUAACCACUACUAGCGGAUCGCAAUGAGUUCAAGAACAGGGGAGCCAUUCUAGCAAGCUAGUCCUAGCGGCUCAAAUAAUUUGAUAGACUGCACAGUUUAUAGGGCAUGGUGUUCUUGAGGUUUGGCAACAGAAUACAAGAAUUGGUGGAAUUUAUGAUGUUGCUUGGCUGAUAGAUGAUCUUCAUGGUGUAACUUUGUCAAGUGAAACCAUAGACAGAGUAGAUGCAACUGUCAUGUAUAGUGCAAGUAUGAACUACAAGAGCUAUUUGAUGUAUUAUUUUUGUAAUAAAUAGUACAUCACUUUGCGGUGUGCUUGUUUUUCCGUUGGGUUAAAUAUGUAUAUGUUCCAUGUGUAUUAAUGAAUGAAUAUUUCGGAGUGAAAUAAAUAAAAUAUGUUUUUAUA